GCACCAGACUCCUACGGGAGGCAGCAGUGAGGAAUAUUGGUCAAUGGGCUUACGCCUGAACCAGCCAAGUCGCGUGAGGGAAGACUGCCCUAUGGGUUGUAAACCUCUUUUGUCAGGGAGCAAUUGGCGCUACGUGUAGCGUUAUCGAGAGUACCUGAAGAAAAAGCAUCGGCUAACUCCGUGCCAGCAGCCGCGGUAAUACGGAGGAUGCGAGCGUUAUCCGGAUUUAUUGGGUUUAAAGGGUGCGUAGGUGGUUAAUUAAGUCAGCGGUGAAAGUUUGUGGCUCAACCAUAAAAUUGCCGUUGAAACUGGUUGACUUGAGUAUAUGUGAGGUAGGCGGAAUGCGUGGUGUAGCGGUGAAAUGCAUAGAUAUCGCGCAGAACUCCGAUUGCGAAGGCAGCAUGCCGGCUCCACACUGACGCUGAGGCACGAAAGCGUGGGUAUCGAACAGGAUUAGAUACCCUCGUA
rnacentral:rRNA from 1 species